UGUAACAUCCCAUUAGUCCCACAUCGGAAGUGGGCAAUGUGUAUGAUUAGCUUAUAAGGGCCUGAUGAGUGUACUACGUUAACUCCCGCUUAAGCAUUUUGGUCCGUGGUUGAAGGACCAAAAUGGAGUUAUUGGCCAGUUGGCUCAUCAGACUCGGGUCGUGACAUUUGUUAUCAAAGCCGACCUAGUAUUUGGGCAGGGUGAGAGGGCUCGAGUAAGAAAGGG
rnacentral:lncRNA from 1 species